AUUGAACGCUGGCGGCAUGCUUUACACAUGCAAGUCGAACGGUAACAGGCCGCAAGGUGCUGACGAGUGGCGAACGGGUGAGUAAUGCAUCGGAACGUGCCCAGUCGUGGGGGAUAACGCAGCGAAAGCUGCGCUAAUACCGCAUACGAUCUAUGGAUGAAAGCGGGGGACCGAAAGGCCUCGCGCGAUUGGAGCGGCCGAUGUCAGAUUAGGUAGUUGGUGGGGUAAAGGCUCACCAAGCCAACGAUCUGUAGCUGGUCUGAGAGGACGACCAGCCACACUGGGACUGAGACAGGGCCCAGACGCGUACGGGAGGCAGCAGUGGGGAAUUUUGGACAAUGGGCGCAAGCCUGAUCCAGCAAUGCCGCGGGCAGGAAGAAGGCCUUCGGGUUGUAAACUGCUUUUGUACGGAACGAAACGGUCCGGGUUAAUACCUUGGGCUAAUGACGGUACCGUAAGAAUAAGCACCGGCUAACUACGUGCCAGCAGCCGCCGUAACAC
rnacentral:rRNA from 1 species